UUCUGUUCUCCUUCUGUUGGGGAUUGUGAAACUCGAAGAUCGGAUCCAGCGCUCUCGCUUUCGUUUUCGUUUUCGAAACCCUAAAACCAGAGAACUUUUCUUUCGCUCUCUCUUCUGAAGGUUUUUUCUGUUUCUUCCCUCUUUCAUGGAGUUUCAAGGCUACGAGAUGGAGGAGGAGAGUUCGAUCCACGCGAGUUGAAACACGAAGGGAAAUUAUUGCAAUCCGAGAUUUGGAGAGAAAUAGAGCGAUAGAAGUUGAUUGAUUGAUUUUUGUUGAUAAUGUCGUCAAAUUCCCCGUGCGCGGCGUGCAAAUUCCUCCGGCGAAAAUGCACACA